GGGUGGCUUAGACACUAUUGAUUUUCUCACAGUUCUGGAGGUCAGAAGUUCAAGUUCAAAGUGUCAGCAGGCUUGGUUCCUUCUGAGUGCUAUGAGGGGGGACCUGCUCCACGCCCCUCUCCUGGCCUUUGGUGGUUUGCUAGCACUCUUGGACGCUCUUCUGCUGCGAGACACGUCGCUCCAAUCUCUUUCUUCAUGCUCACGU